rnacentral:rRNA from 1 species
GACGAACCGUGCAAACGUUAUUCGGAAUCACUGGGCUUAAAGCGUGCGUAGGCGGCUCAGAAAGUUGGGUGUGAAAUCCCUCGGCUCAACCGAGGAAUUGCGCUCAAAACUACUGAGCUCGAGGGAGUUAGAGGUGAGCGGAACUAAUGGUGGAGCGGUGAAAUGCGUUGAUAUCAUUAGGAACACCGGUGGCGAAAGCGGCUCACUGGGACUCUUCUGACGCUGAGGAGCGAAAGCGUGGGGAGCGAACAGG